rnacentral:rRNA from 1 species
UGCAGUCAUACGAGAGUUUUUAACUCAAGUGGCGGACGGGUGAGUAACACGUAAGAAUUUGCCUUUAGGAGGGGGAUAAAACUGGAGGCAGUUGGUAAUACCCCAUAUGCUUUCGAGUAAAAUGGAGUUUUCUGCCUAGAGAGAAGCUUGCGGCUGAUUAGCUUGUUGGUAAGGUAAUGGCUUACCAAGGCGACGAUCAGUAUCUGGUUUGAGAGGGCGAUCAGACACACUGGAACUGAGACACGGUCCAGACUCCUACGGGAGGCAGCAGUGGGGAAUUUUCCGCAAUGGGCGAAAGCCUGACGGAGCAAUACCGCGUGAGGGAUGACGGCCUAUGGGUUGUAAACCUCUUUUUUCAGGGAGGAAUAAAAUGACGUGUACCUGAAGAAUAAGCAUCGGCUAACUCCGUGCCAGCAGCCGCGGUAAUACG